AUGCUCACUUCAGCAGCACACAUACUAAAAUUGGAAUGUUACAGAGAAGAUUAACAUGGCUCCUGCACAAGGAUAAUAUGCAAAUUCGUGAAGCAUUCCAUAUUUUU
ensembl:snRNA U6 U6 spliceosomal RNA